rnacentral:rRNA from 1 species
GGGUUGUGAGGUUAAGCGACUAAGCGUACACGGUGGAUGCCCUGGCAGUCAGAGGCGAUGAAGGACGUGCUAAUCUGCGAUAAGCGCCGGUAAGGUGAUAUGAACCGUUAUAACCGGCGAUUUCCGAAUGGGGAAACCCAGUGUGAUUCGUCACACUAUCAUUAACUGAAUCCAUAGGUUAAUGAGGCGAACCGGGGGAACUGAAACAUCUAAGUACCCCGAGGAAAAGAAAUCAACCGAGAUUCCCCCAGUAGCGGCGAGCGAACGGGGAGGAGCCCAGAGCCUGAAUCAGCAUGUGUGUUAGUGGAAGCGUCUGGAAAGGCGCGCGAUACAGGGUGACAGCCCCGUACACAAAAGCGCACAUGCUGUGAGCUCGAUGAGUAGGGCGGGACACGUGGUAUCCUGUCUGAAUAUGGGGGGACCAUCCUCCAAGGCUAAAUACUCCUGACUGACCGAUAGUGAACCAGUACCGUGAGGGAAAGGCGAAAAGAACCCCGGCGAGGGGAGUGAAAAAGAACCUGAAACCGUGUACGUACAAGCAGUGGGAGCACCCUUUGGGGUGUGACUGCGUACCUUUUGUAUAAUGGGUCAGCGACUUAUAUUCUGUAGCAAGGUUAACCGUAUAGGGGAGCCGGAGGGAAACCGAGUCUUAACCGGGCGUUAAGUUGCAGGGUAUAGACCCGAAACCCGGUGAUCUAGCCAUGGGCAGGUUGAAGGUUGGGUAACACUAACUGGAGGACCGAACCGACUAAUGUUGAAAAAUUAGCGGAUGACCU